CCUGGUGCUUGCACCGGGUGGAUGAGUGGCGAACGGGUGAGUAACACGUGAGUAACCUGCCCCCGACUUCGGGAUAAGCCCGGGAAACUGGGUCUAAUACCGGAUAUGACCAACGCUCGCAUGAGUGUUGGUGGAAAGUCUUUUCGGUUGGGGAUGGGCUCGCGGCCUAUCAGUUUGUUGGUGAGGUAAUGGCUCACCAAGACGACGACGGGUAGCCGGCCUGAGAGGGCGACCGGCCACACUGGGACUGAGACACGGCCCAGACUCCUACGGGAGGCAGCAGUGGGGAAUAUUGCACAAUGGGGGAAACCCUGAUGCAGCGACGCAGCGUGCGGGAUGACGGCCUUCGGGUUGUAAACCGCUUUCAGCAGGGAAGAAGCCUUUAUCGGUGACGGUACCUGCAGAAGAAGUACCGGCUAACUACGUGCCAGCAGCCGCGGUAAUACGUAGGGUACAAGCGUUGUCCGGAAUUAUUGGGCGUAAAGAGCUCGUAGGUGGUUGGUCACGUCUGCUGUGGAAACGCAACGCUUAACGUUGCGCGUGCAGUGGGUACGGGCUGACUAGAGUGCAGUAGGGGAGUCUGGAAUUCCUGGUGUAGCGGUGAAAUGCGCAGAUAUCAGGAGGAACACCGGUGGCGAAGGCGGGACUCUGGGCUGUAACUGACACUGAGGAGCGAAAGCAUGGGGAGCGAACAGGAUUAGAUACCCUGGUAGUCCAUGCCGUAAACGUUGGG
rnacentral:rRNA from 1 species